GGGGAAUUACAGAGUGGACUCUUGCUGCUUCUGUAGGAAACACUGCCUGAGCUUGUGGAGAACUUCCCUUUCUCUCCUGCAUCUGACCUUUUUGGGUGUGACCAUUACAACAAUUAACCCUGAGCUGAGAGAGGGACCUCUGAUUUUCCAAGCCUUACACGUGAAGCAAGCUCUCUGCACUCUUCCAGCUAGGAAUAUGGCUCGGGGUGUUGGGCUAUCCCACCAGUUCUGGAGGGAGCAUGUUUGCUCACAUAAAAAUUGGUAGGUCUUCUUAAAGUUAUCCUUAGGUCUUUGGUAAAUAUUUAGUGACUAGGUCUGGAACAGCAGAUCAGGAAGUAAAUGGACCAUUUAUACUGUAAUAUCAGACAUAUUAAUUAAACUGUUAUCCAAAGACAAGUAUGGGCAUAUGGGUUUAUUUACUCUUAAGAGUGAUUUCUUUGGUUAAAUUCUUAUUGUACUUAUUGCAGUAGUUACAGCUUUAUUAUUUUUUUUGGCAAGGUUUUUAUGUAAUAUAAGUGAUUGAAUAUGAUAUUUCUGGGCUGUAUUUUGCUUAUGAUAUAGCUUCUGUUUGGAAAACUGGUUUCUUUUUAAUUUUUUCCACUUUUUUAAAGGCAAAGUCAGACGGUGAAUUUAAGAAGCAAAACUGAUUGCAAAAAGUAGCCGAAGAGCAUAAAUCAGUGGGGUCUUCAGGAGCAACAGGCUCUCAGAGCUAGCAGCUUCUGAAAACUUUGCAAUUAUAUUCCUCCCAAUAUAAUAGCAUUUUCUUUCUUUCUUUUAUCAUAGACAGGAUCUGCAGAAAUGUGUACUCAAAUCACUAAAAAUGUCCAGUUCUCAAGGAUGCUGAUCAACUCAUUAUUCUUUGUUUUGAUUCACAUGAAGUAUUUUCAUCCUGUGGUUCAUUUCCAAAAAACAAAACCAAAAAAGCUUGAACAGAGCUGAGGCUGGAAUCUAAGUCCAAGUUAAUGAAGCUGCCUCAAAGUUGAGGAGGGAGAGAAUAAACCGCAGCUCUGAGGCA
rnacentral:lncRNA from 14 species